GAAGGCUCUAGGGUUGUAAAGCACUUUCAGUGGGGAGGAAAAGUUCAAAACUAAUAUUUUUGAACCUUGACGUUACCUGCAGAAGAAGCACCGGCAAACUCCGUGCCAGCAGCCGCGGUAAUACGGAGGGUGCGAGCGUUAAUCGGAAUUACUGGGCGUAAAGCGCGCGUAGGUGGUUUGAUAAGCUAGCUGUGAAAGCCCUGGGCUCAACCUGGGAACUGCAGUUAGAACUGUCUGGCUAGAGUAUAGUAGAGGGUGGCGGAAUUUCCUGUGUAGCGGUGAAAUGCGUAGAUAUAGGAAGGAACAUCAGUGGCGAAGGCGGCCACCUGGACUAAUACUGACACUGAGGUGCGAAAGCGUGUGGAGCAAACAGGAUUAGAUACCCUGGUAGUCCACGCCGUAGACGAUGUCUACUAGCCGUUGGGAGACUUGAUCUCUUAGUGGCGCAGUUAACGCGA
rnacentral:rRNA from 1 species